AUAAAUAAUCCUCAUCUUCUUUAUUGUUAGGGGUUGGUGGAGAGAAAGAAGAAAAGAGGGAGAAAGAAAAAGAGAAGAAAAAAAAGAAAGGGAUGGUUUUUGGAGAGAAUUUUUUUUUUACAUCUUGUGAUAGAAAAGAAAAGAAUUAUUGAAAGAGUUUAUUCAUAGGAAGAUUUUACAAUAGUUUAAGCACACCUAUAUAUCUAUUGAAGUUGAAUUAAAAACAGAAGGAUUGUGAGGUUUUUGAUUAUCAUUUGAAUUCGAAGUUGUGUAGUGGAAGGUCAUCCCUUUGCUCGUUUCGUCUCUAACUCGCUGCCCCGAAGAAGGUGAAAUCCCUUUUUUUUUUCUUUUUAGAUGUUGUCAUUCCACCUUGCUAACUAUUUUUUUUUGUUUUGUUUUCUUGUGUGACAUCGAUUCGAGUCCAUUUUGGAUUCCAUUCUUGCAUUCCUCGUUGAGCCAUAAAGGCUCAAAACACUUUUCCCGAGUCAGCCAACCCCCUGAAAGGAUGUACAGGUCGAAAGCAAAACCAUUGGAGAGCUGCUGGAAGUAGCGGAUUGCAGGCAUUUGGCUGCGAUUUUUGUUUUGAAGUUGUGUAUCUGGUUUAUACACAAUAUAUACACUGUGAUACAGGUCAAAAAUCCACAGGAGGCCCAAAUUCAAAAUCUGAAUUGAUGACAGGAAAAUUGCGUUUCUGGAAAGGAGUUUUCAACUUCCGAAAGUUGAAAAACAGGCUUAUAUACAGCCUGUAUACACAGAUAUACAGAGAUGAUAUACUAUAUAUAUGCUCAAAAAAUAUGAUUGGCAGGGGAACGUACACGGAUGCUUGUUUUAACUAAAAUUCGGGAUUAGGCAAUUAAUACGGACGCAGGGUGCAGCCCGUAUACAUUAGUAUACAUUAUCGGGCGACGAUAUAUAAUUGUUAAACAGGUUUAAAAAAUGAUACAGGUACAAAUAUGCAGAGACGAUAUGCGAAAUAUAGGGGAAAUAGCUGAAAAUGCGUAUAUAAAUAAAUGCAGGGCUCAAAAGGUCCAAAAUGGAUGCUGAUAUACACCGUAUACAACAGUAUACAUCUUUUGUAUACUUUAUAUCUCCUUUUUCAGGAAAUUGGGCUAAGGCCCUUCAGUUCCCUUUUAUCAACAGGCCCAAUAACCAUUUGUUUUUACAGGUUUUUUUUUUAAAAAAAGGGCCCAAAUCUAAGUAAAUAGAUUAUGACAGGUGGGCCAAAGCCCAAUUGGAUGGAUUUGGGCAAUCAAACCCAAGUUCAAAUAUUUUUCUCUCUUUAUUUAUUAUUUGUUUGAAUUAAUUAGUGUUUUGGUAGAAUUUUAAUAAUCUCCUAAAGAGUAGCCAUUUUUCAUUAUUUUAAAUUUUACUAUUUUAUUCACUUUUAUCACCAUUUAGUUUUCCUUAAAUUAAUUCCUCUAAACAUUUCCCUUUAGAAAAAAAAAGUAAAAAGAAUGAAAUACAAAAUAUCAAAAUGAAUUUUCUCUUUUACUUAGUUAAAAAUUUUUAUUUUAAAAGUCAUUUAGUCAAAUCGCCGGUCAACCGCAAGUUAGCGGGCAUCCCGAGGGCCUAACACCUUCUCGGAGAUGUACAUUGAAGUUCGAACCCUUUUCAAUUGAUUUUUAAUCUGUUUUUUAAAUCUUUUGAAGUUUUUCUUGAUUUUAUCAAAAAUCAAGUGGCGACUCCAAUUUUGAAGGUCGGUUUUUCUUAAACAAUAAGAUUAAUUGAUUUUUCGAAACCUAGUCAAUUUUUUCUCAUUUCUCCCAUUAAACAUAAACAGUAGUAUUUUUUUAAGUGAAACAUCAAGUAUUACUUUGCUCAACCAAUUCAGUAUUAAGGAUGUUGGGGUUCUUAAAGAGAAAGUUGUUACUUUGGGAAUGGAUGAGGCUUUGAAGCUGUUGAAGACUUCUCUGCAGUCCAAGAGUGUGUUGACCAGUGUUUUCAUGGACAACAUAAAUGAAUAAUUCUCCUGUUUGUUCUGCAAUAUUUUGCUCUACUUUUCCUAUGUUGUUCUAGAUGGUGUCUUUUGCUUGGUUUAUCUGUCUAUGAUGAAGUGGAAUUAUCUACUUUUAUAUUAAGUUCAAAAUCUUGUCUUUUGUGGAACAGUUCUUGGUUUCUUGGAUGCUUUUGCUUAUUAGGUAAGCUCCACUUCGAUGGAAGUGAAGAGUUCUUGCUAUGUAUGUUUAGUUUGUUAUUAAAAUAGAUAUCACUGUUAUAUUUUUUGGUAUAUA